AGGUGGAGCAAAUCCCUAAAAGCCAUCCCAGUUCGGAUUGCAGGCUGAAACCCGCCUGUAUGAAGUUGGAAUCGCUAGUAAUCGCGGAUCAGCAUGCCGCGGUGAAUACGUUCCCGGGCCUUGUACACACCGCCCGUCACACCAUGAGAGUCGGGAACACCCGAAGUCCGUAGCCUAACCGCAAGGGGGGCGCGGCCGAAGGUGGGUUCGAUAAUUGGGGUGAAGUCGUAACAAGGUAGC
rnacentral:rRNA from 1 species